rnacentral:lncRNA from 1 species
AUGUGUGUAGGUCCUGACCAAAAAUCAUUUCUUCCUCAGGUGACCAGAGCACAGAGAAGAGGAGAUGCAGCAUCAGACCCACUUACCCAAGCCAACAGAAACUUUGUGCUGUUUGCUGCCCAACGAGCCAACCAGGGGAGAGCUCCUCACACUGCUGUGCUUCAAGAUCCUCCAAGCCCAACCUCAACACAUCCCACCAUGCCCACUGACCACAUCCCUCAGUGCCAUAUCUCCACAGCUAUGGAACAGAUGGUGACUCCACCACUCCCUGGGCAGCAGUGCCAGUGUUGGAGUGCUCUGUUAGAGAAGCUUUUUCCUAACAUCCAACCUGAACCUGGAAGAAAACCAGGAUGGUUGAGCGCUCAGAAGAGUGCUUUCAAACCAUUUAAACUACUUCAACAGUACAUGUGUGGAUGUAUUCCUUCAAAAAAAAAGUGGAAGAUGCAUCUGUGCCACUCAGCACAGGGGGGAGAGCAGCAAGGCAUGAAUGCCAAUGUCCCAGGAGGGAGCAAGGCGGCUUUGCAGGCAGCACAGCUCCCUGCACAGCUCCUCAGUUUCCUCAUUUAGGAGGAGAGACAAAAGGUUGCAUUCCCCACUCACCCCCUGAGCAAGAGAUAAUUAGUAGCUCAUUGUUUUAAAUCCUAAUAAGCGCUCCCCAAACUAACUAACCAUGUUGGACAUAAUAUAAAAAUGGUUCUGGUGAAAACGCAAUUUGUGGAGCAGUCUAAUUAGAUGGCCAUGAGAGCAAAGAGCCUGUGCAGCACUUGCUGCCGAGGGAGACCUAUUUGCACAAACCCCAGAAGAUUGCCAUGUAAUAGCAAGAGCCAAUUUCUUCAUUUCCUGAAGAUCCACUAGCAAGCAGCCUCCAGACUUCCUCUCACCAUUUGUGAGCCCCAGAGUUAGCUAGAUAGAAGAUUUAAUCUCUCCUCUUUGAAUGGAGCAGUGGAAAGCAAUCUUCUUGGAGUUUUCACAACAGCUGCCCAGGGAGGUGCUGCUUCACAGCAAGAGCAAGAAUGGGCCCAGCUGUGGGUUCAGGCUGCUGCAGCUCCCACACCAAGCUAGUACAAUGCCUGGUUUCUCCAGGAGAAGGGACAAGAGUUGUGUUCUGACAUAAAUGCAGGUCUAGAAGCACUGCUUGCUUUGGCAGCCAAGCUUUUAAUUGAUGCAGCACCUUCUACCAGCACACAGUUUGGAGACCUUUCCCUUUGAGUCCUGAAGGCAUGGGACAAGGGGAGUCUGCGUUCUUCAGAUGACAGUGCUUUAAAUAAAAAGUUCAAACCUGUGUUCUUGACA